GUAUUGGUUUGGAUCGAUGGUGCUGCUUUCACGAGGAAUAGGAAGCGGCUGAAAAGGGAACACGGUGAGGACGACCCAACACGGGGCCGAAACCGUGGCUGCCCCCGCAACUGUAAGCGGAGAGUGCAUUCACGUUAUCCCACUGGCGAAAGCCGGGAAGGGGUGAAUGCGCAUCGACCCGCAAGCCAGGAGACCUGCCAUCAAACCGAUCAACCG
rnacentral:ncRNA from 2 species